AAGACUAUACUUUUAGGGAUCAUUUCUAUAGUUUUUGACUUGAGAAAUGGGUUCUUAAUUGUUUGGUUUCACCAACCAUGAGGACGAUACAGAGCGUCUUCUUCUGAGCGUGAAGCUGGUUAGAGAACUUGCUUUUGUUGCGAGUAUUUUUAACCAUUGAUGAUCGUUCUGCUCUUCUUGAAGAGUAAGAGGAAGAAAACGCAUUCUGAGUGGU